GACGAACGCUGGCGGCGUGCCUAAUACAUGCAAGUAGGACGCAGUUGCGAACGGGAGAGUAACGCGUAGGUAACUGCCUAUUAGAGGGGGAUAACUAUUGGAAACGAUAGCUAAUACCGCAUACUAGUAGAUGGACCUGCGUUGUAUUAGAUAGUAGGUAGGGUACUGGCCUACCUAGGCGACGAUACCGAGCCGACCUGAGAGGGGGACAGGCCAGACUGUGACUGAGACACGGCCCAGACUCCUACGGGAGGCAGCAGUAGGGAAGCUUCGGCAAUGGGGGGAACCCUGACCUAGCAACGCCGCGUGAGUGAAGAAGGUUUUCGGAUCGUAAAGCUCUGUUGUUAAGGAAGCGGUACUUAACCAGAAAGGGACGGCUAACUACGUGCCAGCAGCCGCGGUAAUAC
rnacentral:rRNA from 1 species